rnacentral:rRNA from 1 species
AAACUCAAAGGAAUUGACGGGGACCCGCACAAGCGGUGGAUGAUGUGGUUUAAUUCGAUGCAACGCGAAAACCUUACCCACCUUUGACAUGUACGGAACCCUUUAGAGAUAGAGGGGUGCUCGAAAGAGAACCGUAACACAGGUGCUGCAUGGCUGUCGUCAGCUCGUGUCGUGAGAUGUUGGGUUAAGUCCCGCAACGAGCGCAACCCUUGCCAUUAGUUGCUACGAAAGGGCACUCUAAUGGGACUGCCGGUGACAAACCGGAGGAAGGUGGGGAUGACGUCAAGUCCUCAUGGCCCUUAUAGGUGGGGCUACACACGUCAUACAAUGGCCGGUACAAAGGGCAGCCAACCCGCGAGGGGGAGCCAAUCCCAUAAAGCCGGUCGUAGUCCGGAUCGCAGUCUGCAACUCGACUGCGUGAAGUCGGAAUCGCUAGUAAUCGUGGAUCAGCAUGUCACGGUGAAUACGUUCCCGGGUCUUGUACACACCGCCCGUCACACCAUGGGAGCGGGUUCUGCCAGAAGUAGGUAGCCUAACCGCAAGGAGGGCGCUUACCACGGCAGGGUUCGUGACUGGGGUGAAGUCGUAACAAGGUAGCCGUAUCGGAAGGUGCGGCUGGAUCACCUCCUUUCUG